rnacentral:rRNA from 1 species
UGGGGAAUUUUGCGCAAUGGGGGAAACCCUGACGCAGCGACGCCGCGUGGAGGAUGACGGCCUUCGGGUUGUAAACUCCUGUCAGAAGGGACGAAAUCCCGCAAGGGACUGACGGUACCUUCAGAGGAAGCCCCGGCUAACUACGUGCCAGCAGCCGCGGUAAUACGUAGGGGGCAAGCGUUGCUCGGAAUUACUGGGCGUAAAGGGUGAGUAGGCGGUCGGGCAAGUCAAGGAUGAAAUCCCGAGGCUCAACUUCGGAAUUGUUCUUGAAACUGCUCGGCUUGAGGGUAGUUGAGGAGAGUGGAAUUCCCGGUGGAGCGGUGAAAUGCGUAGAUAUCGGGAGGAACACCUGAGGCGAAGGCGGCUCUCUAAACUACUCCUGACGCUGAAUCACGAAAG